rnacentral:rRNA from 1 species
GACGAACGCUGUCGGCGUGCUUAACACAUGCAAGUCGAACGGAAAGGCCCUGCUUUUGUGGGGUGCUCGAGUGGCGAGCGGGUGAGUAACACGUGAGUAACCUGCCCUUGACUUUGGGAUAACUUCAGGAAACUGGGGCUAAUACCGGAUAGGAGCUCCUGCUGCAUGGUGGGGGUUGGAAAGUUUCGGCGGUUGGGGAUGGACUCGCGGCUUAUCAGCUUGUUGGUGGGGUAGUGGCUUACCAAGGCUUUGACGGGUAGCCGGCCUGAGAGGGUGACCGGCCACAUUGGGACUGAGAUACGGCCCAGACUCCUACGGGAGGCAGCAGUGGGGAAUAUUGCACAAUGGGCGGAAGCCUGAUGCAGCAACGCCGCGUGCGGGAUGACGGCCUUCGGGUUGUAAACCGCUUUCGCCUGUGACGAAGCGUGAGUGACGGUAAUGGGUAAAGAAGCACCGGCUAACUACGUGCCAGCAGCCGCGGUGAUACGUAGGGUGCGAGCGUUGUCCGGAUUUAUUGGGCGUAAAGGGCUCGUAGGUGGUUGAUCGCGUCGGAAGUGUAAUCUUGGGGCUUAACCCUGAGCGUGCUUUCGAUACGGGUUGACUUGAGGAAGGUAGGGGAGAAUGGAAUUCCUGGUGGAGCGGUGGAAUGCGCAGAUAUCAGGAGGAACACCAGUGGCGAAGGCGGUUCUCUGGGCCUUUCCUGACGCUGAGGAGCGAAAGCGUGGGGAGCGAACAGGCUUAGAUACCCUGGUAGUCCACGCUGUAAACGGUGGGUACUAGGUGUGGGGUCCAUUCCACGGGUUCCGUGCCGUAGCUAACGCUUUAAGUACCCCGCCUGGGGAGUACGGCCGCAAGGCUAAAACUCAAAGGAAUUGACGGGGCCCCGCACAAGCGGCGGAGCAUGCGGAUUAAUUCGAUGCAACGCGUAGAACCUUACCUGGGUUUGACAUGGAUCGGGAGUGCUCAGAGAUGGGUGUGCCUCUUUUGGGGUCGGUUCACAGGUGGUGCAUGCCUGUCGUCAGCUCGUGUCGUGAGAUGUUGGGUUAAGUCCCGCAACGAGCGCAACCCUUGUUCACUGUUGCCAGCACGUUAUGGUGGGGACUCAGUGGAGACCGCCGGGGUCAACUCGGAGGAAGGUGGGGAUGACGUCAAGUCAUCAUGCCCCUUAUGUCCAGGGCUUCACGCAUGCUACAAUGGCUGGUACAGAGAGUGGCGAGCCUGUGAGGGUGAGCGAAUCUCGGAAAGCCGGUCUCAGUUCGGAUUGGGGUCUGCAACUCGACCUCAUGAAGUCGGAGUCGCUAGUAAUCGCAGAUCAGCAACGCUGCGGUGAAUACGUUCCCGGG